rnacentral:rRNA from 1 species
UAGUAUGGGGAGUCUGCCCGAUAGAGGGGAAUAACUACUGGAAACGGUAGCUAAUACCGCAUAACGUCGCAAGACCAAAGUGGGGGACCUUCGGGCCUCAUGCCAUCAGAUGUGCCCAGAUGGGAUUAGCUAGUAGUGGGGUAAUGGCUCACCUAGGCGACGAUCCCUAGCUGGUCUGAGAGGAUGAUCAGCCACACUGGGACUGAGACACGGCCCAG